rnacentral:rRNA from 1 species
AUGCAGUUAGGCAGUCUCUGUCGUCAGGGGGCAGUUUCACACAUGGUGAGAUUGUGCCAAGUUACGUUGGGAGACGGUGAAGAGCAAGAUGUCACUCCGGAAUGCAUUCAGGCUGUACUUGGUCAGUAUCAGGAUGUUUUCGGAGAACCAGAAGGGCUUCCCCCAAAGCGCAGUUGUGAUCAUCACAUACCCUUGAUGCCAGGGGCACAGCCUGUGAAUAUUCGGCCGUAUAGGCAUAAGCCUGAGCAUAAGACAGAAAUAGAGCAGCAGGUGGCAGAACUAGUCAGGCAGGGGAUCAUCAGGCGAAGUGCCAGUCCAUUCGCGUCGCCGGUCAUUUUGGUAAAGAAGAAGGAUGGGACGUGGCGUCUCUGUAUUGAUUAUCGCCAACUAAAUGCGAUGACCACUGUACCCAAAUUCCCAGUCCCAGUAACUGAAGAGUUGCUCGAUGAACUCCACGGUGCAGUAUGGUUCUCCAAACUUGAUCUCCGAGCAGGUUACUAUCAGAUCAGGAUCGCGGAAGGUGAUGAGUAUAAAACUGCUUUCCAAACUCACUCGGGGCAUUUUGAAUUCCUGGUGCUUUCUAUGGGUUUAGCAGGAGGACCAUCCACCUUCAACGGUGCAAUGAUUGAUACUUUACAUCCGGUGCUCCGCAAAUUUGUGCUCCUCUUCUUUGAUGAUAUUUUAGUCUUCAGCCGCACCCUAGAGGAUCAUAAGUCUCACCUGGCACAAGUUCUUCAGCUGCUACGACGAGACCAAUGGAAGCUCAAAGCCUCCAAGUGCUGUUUUGGCCAGCAGCGUCUGUCGUAUCUUGAGCAUAUUAUCAGUUCGGAAGGAGUUGCCACGGAUCCUAGCAAGGUUGCAGCAGUGUCACAAUGGCCCACACUGUCAGAUACUAAGGAAGUAUGUCGGUUCCUUGGGCUUGCUGGUUAUUAUCGCCGCUUCGUGCGCCAUUUUGGAAUCAUAGCACGGCCUUUGUUCAACCUGCUCAAGAAAGGAGUCCCUUUUGUAUGGACCCAGGCAACGGAGGAAUCUUUCCGGCUCCUUAAGCAAGGGCUCGUCACAGCACCAGUGCUUGCCAUGCCCAACUUUUCUCAGCCGUUCAUCGUUGAGACAGAUGCUUGUGAUGUCGGUGUCGGGGCAAUUCUGCAGCAACAAGGUCAUCCUAUUGCAUAUAUGAGCAAGGCAUUGUGUCCCAAGUACCAGGGCCUGUCCACUUAUGAGAAAGAAUACCUUGCGGUGGUCAUGGCAGUGGACCAGUGGUGUCCUUAUCUCCAGCAUAAUGAGUUUGUGAUUCAAACGGAUCAGAGGAGUCUCACUCACCUUGAGGAGCAAAGAUUGACCACACCCUGGCAGCAGAAAGCUUUUACCAAGCUCCUAGGGCUCUGUUACACAAUCAGAUACAAGAAAAGUGUAGAAAAUGGAGGAGCUGAUGCCUUGUCGCGAGGCACGCACACUGACCAACUUCAUACGGUCUCAUCUUGCACCCCUAGUUGGAUGGAGGACAUCAUCAGCAGCUAUAACGCUAACCCACAUGCACCAAAGCUGCUUGAGCAACUCGCUAUCAAGGCAGACCCUAAAGGGCGAUUUUCUUUGGAACAAGGCAUUCUGCGGUUCAGAAGGCGAAUUUGGCUCGGUGGCGCGACCGCUAUGCAGCAGCAGGUUAUUGUUGCGUUCCAUGACACACCGAUCGGUGGGCAUUCUGGGUUUCCGGUCACAUGGCGUUGUGUGCGUCGACUGUUCGCCUGGCCUAAGAUGAAGACUCACAUACAACACUAUGUCAAGUGCUGCCCAACCUGUCAACAAGCGAAACCAGAUCGUGCUGCUUACCCAGGGCUGCUCGAGCCUUUACCAGUACCUAAGGAAUCCUGGGAAAUGAUCAGUAUGGAUUUUGUCGACGGUCUACCAUCUUCCGGGGGAGUGAAUUGCAUCUUGGUCAUUGUCGACAACUGA